rnacentral:rRNA from 1 species
AACGUAGGAGACAAACGUUAUCCGGAGUUACGGGGCGUAAAGGGCGUGUAGGCGGUUUGUUAAGUCUGGCGUGAAAGCUCUCGGCUAAACCGGGAGAGGUCGUUGGAUACUGGCGAACUAGAGGAUGGUAGAGGCGUGUGGAAUUCCGGGUGUAGUGGGGAAAUGCGUAGAGAUCCGGAGGAACACCAGUGGCGAAGGCGACACGCUGGGCCAUACCUGACGCUAAAGCGCGACAGCAUGGGGAGCAAACGGG